GGACUACCCGGGUUUCUAAUCCCGUUCGCUCCCCGAGCUUUCGCGCCUCAGCGUCAGUGACAGCCCAGUCGGCCGCCUUCGCCACCGGUGUUCCUCCUGAUCUCUACGCAUUUCACCACUACACCAGGAAUUCCACCGACCUCUGCUGCCCUCAAGCCUCCCAGUCUCAAACGGCCCCUCCCAGUUGGGCCGGGAGAUUUCACGUCUGACUUAGAAAGCCACCUGCGCGCGCUUUACGCCCAGUAAUUCCGGAUAACGCUCGCCUCGUACGUAUUACCGCGGCUGCUGGCAC
rnacentral:rRNA from 1 species